rnacentral:tRNA from 1 species
GCGCCGGUGGUGUAAUGGCGUAGAGCAUUCCCGCCCGGUCAGAGGGAGGUGCGGGUUCAAGUCCCGCCUGGGGCU